UGCAAUUCAAUAUUCACAUUUGACAGUCUUCAACUGAGUCCAUAUUUAUGUAGAGGCCAUUCAUGAGCAAUUUUAAAAGCAUAGUGCAUAAAAUUAGAAAAUACAUCAAAGUCACAGAAAAAAAUUCAAAUUGCAUUUUCACUUUCUGACCUUUUUUCUUCUAAAUUUCCUUCUAAAUGCUAUUUCAAGAAAGCUGAGACAUUGAUAUUAAUGCAAAUUUUGUUUUAAUAGGGAAAUUAUUUUUCACUGUUUUUCAUAGCAGAUUAUACAGCCUCUGGAAAAGGAAAGCAAAGCAUGUUUCAGAUGAAAUACACUGCACUGUCUCUAUGCACAGCAAUACAAGAUAUUUACAUUCUAUACAGAUGGCUGAAUGCAUACAUACAUUACUUUACAAAGCAAUAAAUAAUAUUAAUAGGAGAUAUCAAAUUUGUACACAUUUUAUGAAAUAUGUACAAUCUUGUAGUUUGUAACUAAGCUUUUGCACACAUGCAGUUGGAAACUGAAAUGAAGGGGGCUGUGUCUUCUGCUGUCCUCAGAGUGCACUGCUAAUAAAGCUGUGGCUUCUCAUCCUGCUGUUCUAAUUUUUAUAAAAAGCAAAUACUGUGUGGUCUCUUUAAGAAAUUUUUAAGUGCAUAUCAUGGUAAUGGAUUGCCACCCUUCCUGAAUCAAUUCCUGGCUUGUUCUAGAUUGCCAGCAACUGGUCCUGAAAGCACAUUCAGAAUGAUUAGAAGUGCUCAAUAAUUUUUCCUCCAGGAACAAACAACCAAAAUUGAAAUGUGCUCCUGGAGUUUCGUGCUCACCACUUCCUCAAAAGGCUCCACUUCUUGGAAAGAGAUUUUCCCUUUGAAGUCAUAUAUGAGCGUGUAUCAGAUCAAGGACCAUUUCUCUGGCUCUUUACCUUCAGCCUCUGGCAUAGAUAGCAAAAGUGUUUUGGACAAGAAGACUUGCUCAACGGACAGGCUUCCUUCUCUGCCUCAGUGCAGAGCCUGGUGCCAAACCCACUCCCACUCAAACCCAGCUGCAGAGGGAUGCUGGUGUGGAUAAUACACUGUCUGACUCUGCAGCUGGAGGUGCUGACACAAAGCCCAGAUCCAUUCACUUCAAAGCAACACACCGGGUGGACCUGACUUGCCUGGAAAACACAGAGUAGCACUUACAAAGAGAUGUUCAGCAUAAGGUAGGGCAUUUUGCCAGUAAGUGUAAUUAAUUUACACUAAGAUAGAUUCAAUCUUUUAUUUCAAAAGAAUUCUAGGAUUGAUUCUCUUUAAUUCAUAUCCACUUACAGUGAAACAGUCAAGCUAAUCACAGAAAUCAUUUGAAGUAGCUAUUUCCAUAAACAAGCAAUUAGGCACUUAUAAAAUGACUUUUAGAUGUGAUUUUAAUAUAAAAUGGGACAUAGUCUUCAUUGAUAUUCUUAGCAUUAAGCAGAAUGUUAUUGUCUCUAUUCUUUAAAGAUUUUACAAUUUCUGUGCUCAAUUAUUAUGAAGUAAUAAAGACAUAAUAUUAAUCCAGCUGGCCAGCAGUGAGAGACUUUCCAAGGGGGGACUCUUUCCAAAGGGAACUCUUUCAUCUCUUUUGUGGCAUGACCUGCACAGCUGCCCUACCUGUGUGAGCACUCAUGGGUUAAGUGUGAAUCCUCAUGAAGCUCCACCAAUUUCAAGGUGCUGAGCCUUUCAAGGUGGCCUGUACAAUUGACAAUUAAACUUCAUGCAUCCUAGGGAAACUAUUACCAUAGAGAAAUAAGUUAUAGGAGAUCUGCAUCCUGGGCCUGAGUAGCAGCACCUGGGGUGCCUGAAGCACGAUUUGCAGAUGUGUAGUGCCUCUUCUUCCAGGGGUGCAGGAGGAGGCUGGGGUGGAAGCCUGCCAGCCCUCCUGGGAGGAGAGA